UACAGAGGUCCCAAGCGUUGUUCGGAUUCAUUGGGCGUAAAGGGUGUGUAGGUGGCGCCGUAAGUCGGGGUGUGAAAUUUCGGAGCUUAACUCCGAAACUGCAUUCGAUACUGCGGUGCUUGAGGACUGGAGAGGAGACUGGAAUUCAUGGUGUAGCAGUGAAAUGCGUAGAGAUCAUGAGGAAGACCAGUGGCGAAGGCGGGUCUCUGGACAGUUCCUGACACUGAGACACGAAGGCCAGGGGAGCAAACGGG
rnacentral:rRNA from 1 species